rnacentral:rRNA from 1 species
UACGGAGGGUGCAAGCGUUGUUCGGAAUCACUGGGCGUAAAGGGCGCGUAGGCGGCCACCGCAAGUCGACUGUGAAAUCUCCGGGCUUAACCCGGAACGGUCAGCCGAUACUGCGGGGCUAGAGUGCAGAAGGGGCAACUGGAAUUCUCGGUGUAGCGGUGAAAUGCGUAGAUAUCGAGAGGAACACCUGCGGCGAAGGCGGGUUGCUGGGCUGACACUGACGCUGAUGCGCGAAAGCUAGGGGAGCGAACGGG